GCCGGGCGCGCAGGGGGCGGGACCACGACUGCUUCCGGGUCAGGAGCCGCUUGCAGCCACUUCCUUUACCGAGUGACAGGAAAAGGAGACAUUAACAGCGGAUGCCAGAGAUUGAAUUCACGCCAUUGGAUUGUAGAAGGGACCUAAGUUUACCUUCACUUAUUUUUGGAAUAGACGCUUUAGAACGAUAUUGAAAUUAUUUAAAGCUGGAAAAAAGGAGGGGCACAUUUAAAAUUAUUUUUGCCUAUUUUGGAGAAAUCCAUCCAUUCUAGGGACCCAGGACCAUAAGUGAAGAACCAGUGCUUUUUUUGGUUCGGGAUUGUUGAAAAGUAGAAAGUAAAGGCAGUGUAUUUAUUC